rnacentral:rRNA from 1 species
CCCGCUGAACUUAAGCAUAUCAGUAAGUGGAGGAAAAGAAACCAACAAGGAUUCCCUUAGUAACUGCGAGUGAAAAGGGAGGAGCCCAGCGCAUAAGGAGGUUGGCUUUUGGCUGAUCACCGGUGUUGCGUAUAGGUGCUGAGUGCAUGGAUGAGUGUUGGGAUAAAUUACAUUGGAAUAUGAUAGCGAAGACGGUUUUACGCCGGUAAUCCUGAUGUUUGUUCGUGUGAUCAGUGCUUGGGAGUCGGGUUGUUUGGAAACGCAGCCCAAAGAGGGAGGUAAACUUCUCCUAAGGCUAAAUAUGACUAGUAGACCGAUAGCGAAUAAGUACCGUGAGGGAAAGUUGAAAAGCACUUUGGAAAGAGAGUGCAAGAGAUCGUGAAACCAGUAUAAAGGAAGCAGACGUUGCUAACGGAUUAGGUGUACAUUCAUCUGUGGUCUUCGGAUUGCGGUGCUCUUGUAUGCUGUGUGCGCUGGGUGCAUUGAUGCUGUCAUUCUAAGUUGGUGUGUAUGGACUGGUUCGCCCGGUGACCUGCACUUUCGAGGAUUGAUUGGUGUUGGUGGUGUUGUGGGUUGGCGUAUGUGGUUGUGUGUUGGGGUGUGUGGUCAUUUGUGGUAGCACAUGUGUUAUCAUGAGUGUUCUGCGUGCUUCGAUGUAUGAUUGCUCGUUGACUAUCCCGGUGUCUAGUUGGUGAAACGUUUGACCCGUCUUGAAACACGG